rnacentral:rRNA from 1 species
CCUACGGGAGGCAGCAGUAAGGAAUAUUGGUCAAUGGACGAAAGUCUGAACCAGCCAUGCCGCGUGAAGGAUGAAGGCCCUCUGGGUUGUAAACUUCUUUUAUCUGGGACGAAAAAGCUCAUUCUUGAGCACUUGACGGUACCAGAGGAAUAAGCACCGGCUAACUCCGUGCCAGCAGCCGCGGUAAUACGGAGGGUGCAAGCGUUAUCCGGAUUCACUGGGUUUAAAGGGUGCGUAGGUGGGUUUGUAAGUCAGUGGUGAAAUCUCCGAGCUUAACUCGGAAACUGCCAUUGAUACUAUAGAUCUUGAAUCAUCUGGAGUAAGCGGAAUAUGUC